ensembl:piRNA 21ur-6834 ncRNA
UAGGCAAGAGCGGGUGAAGAA